rnacentral:rRNA from 1 species
UUGAACGCUGGCGGCAGGCCUAACACAUGCAAGUCGAGCGGUAACACAGAGAGCUUGCUCUCGGGUGACGAGCGGCGGACGGGUGAGUAAUGUCUGGGAAACUGCCUGAUGGAGGGGGAUAACUACUGGGAACGGUAGCUAAUACCGCAUAACGUCGCAAGACCAAAGUGGGGGACCUUCGGGCCUCAUGCCAUCAGAUGUGCCCAGAUGGGAUUAGCUAGUAGGUGGGGUAACGGCUCACCUAGGCGACGAUCCCUAGCUGGUCUGAGAGGAUGACCAGCCACACUGGAACUGAGACACGGUCCAGACUCCUACGGGAGGCAGCAGUGGGGAAUAUUGCACAAUGGGCGCAAGCCUGAUGCAGCCAUGCCGCGUGUGUGAAGAAGGCCUUCGGGUUGUAAAGCACUUUCAGCGGGGAGGAAGGCGGUGAGGUUAAUAACCUCAUCGAUUGACGUUACCCGCAGAAGAAGCACCGGCUAACUCCGUGCCAGCAGCCGCGGUAAUACGGAGGGUGCAAGCGUUAAUCGGAAUUACUGGGCGUAAAGCGCACGCAGGCGGUCUGUCAAGUCGGAUGUGAAAUCCCCGGGCUCAACCUGGGAACUGCAUUCGAAACUGGCAGGCUAGAGUCUUGUAGAGGGGGGUAGAAUUCCAGGUGUAGCGGUGAAAUGCGUAGAGAUCUGGAGGAAUACCGGUGGCGAAGGCGGCCCCCUGGACAAAGACUGACGCUCAGGUGCGAAAGCGUGGGGAGCAAACAGGAUUAGAUACCCUGGUAGUCCACGCCGUAAACGAUGUCGAUUUGGAGGUUGUGCCCUUGAGGCGUGGCUUCCGGAGCUAACGCGUUAAAUCGACCGCCUGGGGAGUACGGCCGCAAGGUUAAAACUCAAAUGAAUUGACGGGGGCCCGCACAAGCGGUGGAGCAUGUGGUUUAAUUCGAUGCAACGCGAAGAACCUUACCUGGUCUUGACAUCCACAGAACUUUCCAGAGAUGGAUUGGUGCCUUCGGGAACUGUGAGACAGGUGCUGCAUGGCUGUCGUCAGCUCGUGUUGUGAAAUGUUGGGUUAAGUCCCGCAACGAGCGCAACCCUUAUCCUUUGUUGCCAGCGGUUCGGCCGGGAACUCAAAGGAGACUGCCAGUGAUAAACUGGAGGAAGGUGGGGAUGACGUCAAGUCAUCAUGGCCCUUACGACCAGGGCUACACACGUGCUACAAUGGCAUAUACAAAGAGAAGCGACCUCGCGAGAGCAAGCGGACCUCAUAAAGUAUGUCGUAGUCCGGAUUGGAGUCUGCAACUCGACUCCAUGAAGUCGGAAUCGCUAGUAAUCGUAGAUCAGAAUGCUACGGUGAAUACGUUCCCGGGCCUUGUACACACCGCCCGUCACACCAUGGGAGUGGGUUGCAAAAGAAGUAGGUAGCUUAACCUUCGGGAGGGCGCUUACCACUUUGUGAUUCAUGACUGGGGUG